ACUCAAAGUGUGCUUAUAGAUUCAUGAAGUUCCCACACACUGAAAGUUCUUCCUGCGUUGGCGUCCGACAGAGGAUUUAGAACAAAAUAUUGAGCUCCUUUUAAGAAAGUGAACCAGCAGUUUCUCCGUGGAGAGAAGGUUUCCAUUUACCAGAAGAUGACGUCCCCCCGAGGGAAGCGAGCCCUGCUGGUGUCUGAGGCGCUGUCUUCCUCACACAGACUUUGGUGAGGGAGCUCCUUCGGCCAUGUUGUCAUCAGAAUAAGGUUUCUCACUUUAGGCCAUAGGCAACGCACUCAGAGAGUCGUGAACAUUCGAAAAAAGGAAAAUAUUUUUCCAGAUCCUUGAGGCCUUCUGGGCACACAUUUACAACUCCAGAGGUGAAUUACUGACAACAUGAAUCAGUUAUAAAACAAGGUCCUUCCGCAAUAUAAAGUUUUAAAGCUAAAGAAAUGUAUCUUUUUUUUUUCCUCAAGGCAAAUCAAAAUUAAAUUAAAAAAUAAUCAAUUCUGGACAACCAGACUUUUUGUGACAAACGCCCAAGGAUUUAUUACCUUAAAAUGGUGAGACACAAUAAGGGAGUCAGAGAAAAAAAUCCUGACGGUUCCAACCGUUCUGAGAGCCGGUCAUAUUUCUGCUGAGUUUCACAAAACACCCAUAUAUAUUAAUUGUAAAAACUGCCCUGUUUGGCCAAGCAAGUUGAAGUUGGAUUCCCAUGGCCACCUGCAACCAAAACAGCCCGGACUCACAGAGACCUGGAAGGAUUCUGAAACAUUCUCUCAGGAUAAGUUGGGCUACUCUUGGCAGCGAGUGACUGAAUGGAAACUUAAUGAGGUUUCACGCUAUGAGGACACUCCUUAGCUCACGUAACAGGAAGUCUGUUAUGACUGUUGAUGACAUAAGGCAAAAUGACAUCCUCAAGGACCCGGUGCUUUCCAUUUCCGCCCUGCCAACCUCAAGGGUGGCUUUCUGUCCCGAGGCGGGCUCUCCUGCACAAGAUGGCCGCCACAGCCGCAGUCCUUACGCAUUACGCUUCCACAUCCGCCGGAGGCAGGAAGGAGGCUUUCUCCGCACCUGUCAUUUUGCUUUCCCAGAAGUCACCUCGAUCAAUGUCCUCUCAGAUCCCAUUGGCUAGAAUUGGGUCACAUGACCAUGUAUAGCUGCAAGAGAGGAGAGAAAAGGGGCCAGAAGGCAUUUUCAGCAUCUGAGGGAGAAGCCAUCUGCUGGAGAUCACCUGUUGCCAUGUCAUGAGGAUGCUCAAGCAGCUGUGUGGAGAGGCCCAUCUAGUGAGGAACCCACCCCUUCUGCCAACGGCCAGCGAGGAACUGAUGCCUCCUGCCAAUGGCCGUUUGAGUUGCCAUCUGGGAAGUGGACCCAGUUAAGCCUUCAGAUGACUCUGCACCUGCUGUCAUUCUGAUUUCAGCCUUCUCAGAGAGCCUGAGCAGGAAGCAAUGACUCUUGGAUUCUUGACCCAUAAAACUGCAUAAUGAUAAAUGUUGGUUGUUC